CUAUUACUCCUUCUGUACGGAAAUACUUGUCAGAGAAAUAGAUGUAUCUAGACGUAUUUUAGUUCUAGAUAUAUCCAUUUUUAUCCAUUUCUCCAACGAGUAUUUCCGAAUGGAGGGAGUAUCAC
rfam:Triticum aestivum genome assembly, contig: Triticum_aestivum_CS42_TGACv1_scaffold_158079_2DL